rnacentral:piRNA from 1 species
CAAACAUGAAACUGACCCUCGAUGCC